GAAGUAAAAGUCGUAACAAGGUUUCCGUAGGUGAACCUGCGGAAGGAUCAUUAUCGAGUUUUGAAACGGGUUGUGGCUGGCCUCAUAAAUUAUUGGGGCAUGUGCACGCCUGGCUCAUCCACUCUUUCAACCUCUGUGCACUUAUUGUAGGUUGGUAAUAAAGCUGGUUUCAAAUCAGCUGGAAGACCUUCCUAUGUUUUAUUAUAAACGCUUCAGUUAUAGAAUGUAUCCUUGCGUUAACGCAUUUAUAUACAACUUUCAGCAACGGAUCUCUUGGCUCUCGCAUCGAUGAAGAACGCAGCGAAAUGCGAUAAGUAAUGUGAAUUGCAGAAUUCAGUGAAUCAUCGAAUCUUUGAACGCACCUUGCGCUCCCUGGUAUUCCGGGGAGUAUGCCUGUUUGAGUGUCAUGGAAUUCUCAAUCUUCAGUCUUUUUCUUUUUCUUAAAAGAUUUAAAAAAUGCUGAAGACUUGGACUUGGAGGUUUAUGCUGGCUCUUGCUAGUCGGCUCCUCUGAAAUGCAUGAGCGUGAUUAUGACGGAUCGCCUUCGAUGUGAUAAUUAUCUGCAUCGUAGUUGUGAAGUAAAUUAAUAUUUGCGCUUAUAAUCGUCCUUGAAGAGGGACAAUUUAUCUUUGACUUUGACCUCAAAUCAGGUAGGACUACCCGCUGAACUUAAGC
rnacentral:rRNA from 1 species